AGCCCUAGGGGCAAGGGGGAGCCUCCUGAAGGGCCGGCCCCACUCUCCACUCCCCAGACAGCCCACACUGGACGAUAACAGGAGCAAGAGAGAAGCCUGCAUUGUGUGCACCUCUGAGGCAAGAAAACUGAGGCUCGCGGGUUAUCCAACCAGAAUGUGGCAGAGUCAGGAUUUGAACCUGGGUCUGGCUGAUGGAGAACAUCAGCUUCUCUCUGAGGGAGACUUCAGGUCCUGCUGCAGCCUCCAGACCUGCACCAUCUUCUCCCCAGGGAUCCUCUGUCUGGCUCCACGUCAUGCCCAGGCUGAGGCCCACAGUGGGACCUUGUCAUCACUCUGACUGUGCCCACCCAGACCCCUCAAACUGCCACCUCACCCCCCUCGCUUCCACCACCCCCUUCCACCCGACGACAGUGUCCCAGGGAGGAUUAAGUCCAGCUGCGUGUGUCAAAAGAGACUAGAAGAGGGUACCAGUGGCUUAGAGUAGGAGAAGAGUUUAUUUCUCUCUUACACACAAGAGUCCAGAGGCAGGCGGUCCAGCCCUGUGGAGGCCCCGUAUGAUGAUAUCCAGAUCCUGAGCUAAAUCUCUCUCACUGCUGGGGCAUCUUCAACAUCUUUCUCCUACCUCACGGACCAAGAGAGCUGUUCAAGCUCCAUCCAUCACAUUGCAUUUCUGAGGCUGGAAAACGAAGGAAGGAGCAAAGAAGGGCAUCCUUCUGCCUAUUAAAGACCCUUCCCCAAAGCUGCCCUUGACACUUCUAACUUACAUCCCAUGGGCUAUAACUGAGUCCCAUGACCAACCUAGCUGCAAGGGAGGCUGGGGAAUGUGCCUGGCUAUAAAUAGAGGGUACACAGACAGGGGAAGACAGGUUUGGAGAGACAUUAACUGUCUCUGUGGUGACUCUCCUCUGCCAUCGUGAAGCCCUCCAGUAUUUUCCGGGCCACCUGGCCCUCCUGGCCGCCCUCCCUCCCUUCCUCAGCCUGGAUGGCACAGGCGCUGGCUGACGCUCUCACUCUGCUUUGAGCAUUGUGACCUGCCUUCUUGACAGUCAGCAGGUAGCUGAGUCCUCGGCUGCAGAAAGUCCUAUCGCCACUGCGCCAGACUCCACUAGCGACCAGAUACGAAUCCUGGUCCCUAGCCUGGGGGACAACGUCCUGCAUGAUUUUGCAUCCAGCCCUCAGCCUGGGCCCCCUCCCCCAUCGAGUGGAGAGCACAAGGUAAGAGGGAACGUCAGAGAAGGACCAGGAGGACAAAGCAGUCGGGUGGCCGAUGGCCCUGUGGGCUCUCCUCAGAGCCAGCCCCUCUGCCGACAUCCACUCUUCCCUGGGACACCCCGCCCACCAGUCCCCAAGCCAGAACGUGGCCAUCCUCUGUGGCUCUUCUUCCUCAGCCUGCACUUCCAAGCCAUCACCCUCACCAUCUCUGCUUUGCCACAGAGUCACCUCCUCUCCAGCUCCCAGGCUCCAGACCCCAAUACCCAUGUUCCGUGUUCCUCCGUGAGCAGCUGGUUCAAUAUCUACUCCAACAGCAGCACCCCGAGCAACUCAUAUCUCAUGCAAACCAUGCCGUUCAUGUAGAAAGUCAUUCUCUGUUCCGGUUCCUUGCCAGGACUGCUCCAGGGCACCAGCUGGCCUGCUCUGCCUGGGCCUCAGGGGGUUUCCAGGACACAAGACUUCAGUGCUAAAUGGAGACAAAGUUGGUCACCUCAUUCCACCCCACCCUUCCCAGACUAACUCAGCCCCUUGCUUUAAAACCAGUCCUUCCCGGAUCUCCCACCCCAGCCAGGUGGGAUUCACGCACACGCUGGUCACUGUGUCUUGUGUGGUGCCCUCCUGUUCCUGUGUCUACACUAGAAGUUCCCUGAGAACAGGACCACGUGCGAGUUACCCAGACAGCUCCAGAGCCUCGAAAACCACCUGACCUACAGAAGGUGUCAAGAUACAGGAAAGGAAGGGAAAAAGGAAAAGAGAAAGAAUCAACGGUUCCAGAUCUCUAAUACCCUAAAGAUUCCAGGAAAUCACACUAAAAACAAGACCGGGAAUAACGUAUUUGAAGUUUUGAAAGGUUUGCCUCCGAAAGCCGUCUUAACGGGUGGGUCACUUGCUGAUGUGCACUCAGAGUGGUACCACCCCUCUGGGUCGCAAUUUCACAACAACGUCUGUCAACAUCUCUGAUAUACGACUCAGCAAUGCCUCCUUUCAGACUCACCCUGCAGAGAGAUGCGUGCCCACCUAGGAAGUGUGUGUGCGCCAAGGAAUUCACGCAGUAGCGA